AAUCGUACCCCAAACCGACACAGGUGGUCAGGUAGAGAAUACCAAGGCGCUUGAGAGAACUCGGGUGAAGGAACUAGGCAAAAUGGUGCCGUAACUUCGGGAGAAGGCACGCUGAUAUGUAGGUGAAGCGACUUGCUCGUGGAGCUGAAAUCAGUCGAAGAUACCAGCUGGCUGCAACUGUUUAUUAAAAACACAGCACUGUGCAAACACGAAAGUGGACGUAUACGGUGUGACGCCUGCCCGGUGCCGGAAGGUUAAUUGAUGGGGUCAGCGCAAGCGAAGCUCUUGAUCGAAGCCCCGGUAAACGGCGGCCGUAACUAUAACGGUCCUAAGGUAGCGAAAUUCCUUGUCGGGUAAGUUCCGACCUGCACGAAUGGCGUAAUGAUGGCCAGGCUGUCUCCACCCGAGACUCAGUGAAAUUGAACUCGCUGUGAAGAUGCAGUGUACCCGCGGCAAGACGGAAAGACCCCGUGAACCUUUACUAUAGCUUGACACUGAACACUGGUCCUUGAUGUGUAGGAUAGGUGGGAGGCUUUGAAGUGUGGACGCCAGUCUGCAUGGAGCCGUCCUUGAAAUACCACCCUUUAAUGGCUGGUGUUCUAACGUUGGCCCGUAAUCCGGGUUGCGGACAGUGUCUGGUGGGUAGUUUGACUGGGGCGGUCUCCUCCUAAAGAGUAACGGAGGAGCACGAAGGUUGGCUAAUCCUGGUCGGACAUCAGGAGGUUAGUGCAAUGGCAUAAGCCAGCUUGACUGCGAGCGUGACGGCGCGAGCAGGUGCGAAAGCAGGUCAUAGUGAUCCGGUGGUUCUGAAUGGAAGGGCCAUCGCUCAACGGAUAAAAGGUACUCCGGGGAUAACAGGCUGAUACCGCCCAAGAGUUCAUAUCGACGGCGGUGUUUGGCACCUCGAUGUCGGCUCAUCACAUCCUGGGGCUGAAGUAGGUCCCAAGGGUAUGGCUGUUCGCCAUUUAAAGUGGUACGCGAGCUGGGUUUAGAACGUCGUGAGACAGUUCGGUCCCUAUCUGCCGUGGGCGCUGGAGAACUGAGGGGGGCUGCUCCUAGUACGAGAGGACCGGAGUGGACGCAUCACUGGUGUUCGGGUUGUCAUGCCAAUGGCACUGCCCGGUAGCUAAAUGCGGAAGAGAUAAGUGCUGAAAGCAUCUAAGCACGAAACUUGCCCCGAGAUGAGUUCUCCCUGACCCUUUAAGGGUCCUGAAGGAACGUUGAAGACGACGACGUUGAUAGGCCGGGUGUGUAAGCGCAGCGAUGCGUUGAGCUAACCGGUACUAAUGAAC
rnacentral:rRNA from 1 species